UCCGAUAUGGUCUAGUGGCUAGGAUUUGCCGCUCUCAUCGAGAGUCCAGUUCACUCCUGUAGUGCCGGCAAGGCCCGGGUUCGAUUCCCGGUGUCGGAA